CAUUUUUUGAGUUAUAUUGGGAUGUAAAACCGGUUGGUCACGUGAUCAAAUCCCAUAAAGCCCGAAGGGCUUUAUGGAAGAUUUGAUCAUGUGCCAACCGGUUUUACAUCCCAAUAUAACUCAAAAAAUGAUACCUUAUUUCUUAUAUUUACACUUGUUGCUAUGUUUUUGCCCACAACGCGUUUCCAUACAUUCCUCUUUUUUGACCUAGACAAGCGCUUCAGUUAAAAUGACGUAACAAAAAAUAGUUCCAAGGUAAUGCAACUAUUUAUUUAAUACUGAUUAAAAAAUAAACAGUUGUUUAAGUCACAUUUACAAUAUAUUUUCUUAAGAAGAAAAAUUACAAGAGAAUUAAUGUGUAUUAUAAGAAAUACGAAUAAAACUUUGCGGAGUGUCACUACUUCCGUUGACGUAAAGAGGUCACAAGGCGUCUAUUUGAAGUUGAAAACACACUGGUUGAAAACGGACUUGGAGAGAAAAUCAGACGACAUUCUGGUGCAUACAGAAGAACUAGCAUCGAAAGAAGGAUGAUUUUCAUUUGGAACGGGGGAGAAAGGUCUGUCUUGUUUACGAGGAGAAACGGAAAAAGAAGCAGAUGGGGUUGUCGAAGUGGAGGUACUGCACGAAAGGUUUUCAAAGAAGCUUCAUUGCGAUGCCCACUCAUAAACAUAAUCUGUCGGGACUCGAAGCCAUGAUCGCUCAUGGCAGUGAUGGCAGUGGCUCUCAAGCAGUGAGGGGUGUAAUACUUGAGACAUUUUGAAGACUUGCAAAUAUCCGCCAUGUAUCCACUGAAAGAUCUCUUCGCCAAAGGUUUAGAUGUAUACCACAGAUCAGAUCCAGAGUUCAUCAGGGCUUCUUUAAAGCAUGUGUUAAAAAGACCUUUAGCACUGGGCUCCGUCUUGCUCAUCAAUAAGCGCAGCAUCUUCACAGGGCAGAUAUCACUGCCAGGAACCUCGUAGAUCCGCUUUCCCGCAGGAGCUUCAUCUGAUCCGAUUCCUCCUUGGAAAUUUUUUUGCUGCGUUUCAUGUCGAAGCGUAAUGUACUCUAAAUUGUUCUCAUCUUUGUGAAAUUCAAAGGAAUCCAUCUGUAAUUGAUGGUGAAACUCUAAGCCACGCGUAACUAAAUGGAUAGACAAAUUGUACCAAACGCAUUGGCGAAGGACAAUUGGGGAAUGCGGAGCCGAAAGAAAAUACGAAGAUAUGCGUUCAAGCAUUCCAUCUUAUGUGUAAUUCGCUGUUUUGAAUUCCUUGUCGCGGACAAUAUCUAUUGAUCUUCCUAAAUCUUGAAGGUGUCUGUUGAUGGCAGCACGGAGGUUUUUUAAGCUAUUCUUGUGAUAAUUUUCUGCCUGUGCAGCCGUUAAUUCUGCCGCCCUUUUUGGAGUUGAUUUGGGUCUGGCUUCGCAAUAAAAUUUCCUCAAUUUCUCAGCAAGGAUCUCAGAAGUGACAAUUUUGAAAUCAAGAACAUCGGAAAAGACCUCCAAGUGCCAAUCUAUAAAUUGUAAAGGGAAUUUAUUUCAACAUUUGAUUUUGAUUUCAUUAUUUAUUUAUUUUCUAAAAUUUUUUGUUUGUUCUGUUUCAUAGUUUGCAUGUUGCAUUGUUUGAUUGAUUUGUUAUAUUGAUAUGUUAGUUUCUGUAUUGGUUUGUUUGUUUGUUUGUUUGCUUGUUUGCUUGCUUGCUAAGCUGUUGGCCUACAUUUUAAUUCUUUAUUAAACAAUCAUCUGUUUGUAGACUGCAGAGAAAAAUCUGGUAUACCUUUGUGCUGGUGAAUGUAUUGUUUUACUGUAAACAUACUCGUAGAACAUGCUUUUGCCUUAUUUACAAGGAUAUAUUAAUAUCAGCAUUGUUUUUUUUUUCAUUGGUUCAAUUUAUUUAUUAUUUAUACUCCUUGUUUUAGUUUGUUGUUAUUUUUAAGCACUACAUAAAAUUAUGUACCUUGAAAGAGUUUCACUCCCCAUUGGGUAUUUCGUUUUGUUGAGACAGAUUGUCUGGAUUCCUCAAAUUCUUUCAAAUUUUCCUCAGACAUGGACUUGAAUCUCUUAGUAGGGGGGGCAGGCAUACCAGGGCUAGGAAGUCCCUCCAUAUCAGACAUUUUCAGCUCCUUCUCGACCUCUUCAGUCUCUUCAACGCUUGCUGGAGCCAUAAAAGGGAGAUCCAGAGCGGCCAUGAUAUCAUUGUCAAACAGAAGAUACAGCAAUGGGUCGUUAUCACAGAGGUCAAAAUCGCCAAACUCAUCCAUUGUUUUGGUAGGGGGGGUUGAAAGCAGACGUGUAUUAUGAUAAAUGAAUAAAAAAAAGUUUUUUGUAAUGUAAAAAAAAGUUUUUUUGAACAGAUUUUAUUUUAUGUAUUAAAAUUAUUUUAUUUUUAAUGCGACAUUGUGUUUCAACGCCUUGUAUUUGAUUUCAGCCGGGUUUGUUUACGUUCGUAGUAAAAGUAGUGACCCAGUUCUGAGGAGGUCAAUGUAUUCAUGCGCGCUAUUUAUCAUAUGACCUCUUGACCCCAAACCUGUUUUAUUGGAAUGUAAAAACGACCCACUCAAGUAAUGUUUAUAUAGGACAAAACAUUUGCAAGUGUA